GACGAACCGUCCAAACGUUACUCGGAAUUACUGGGCUUAAAGGGUGCGUAUGCUGCGCGGAAAGUUGGGUGUGAAAUCCCUCGGCUCAACCGGGGAAUUGCAUCCAAAACUACCGUGCUCGAGGGAGACAGAGGUAAGCGGAACUCAAGGUGGAGCGGUGAAAUGCGUUGAUAUCUUGAGGAACACCGGUGGCGCAAGCGGCUUACUGGGUCUCUGCUGACGCUGAGGCACGAAAGCUAAGGUAGCUAGCGGG
rnacentral:rRNA from 1 species